rnacentral:rRNA from 1 species
AUUGAACGCUGGCGGCAGGCCUAACACAUGCAAGUCGAACGAGUGGCGGACGGGUGAGUAAUGUCUGGGAAACUGCCCGAUGGAGGGGGAUAACUACUGGAAACGGUAGCUAAUACCGCAUACCAUCGGAUGUGCCCAGAUGGGAUUAGCUAGUAGGUGGGUUAACGGCUCACCUAGGCGACGAGCCCUAGCUGGUCUGAGAGGAUGACAAGCCACACUGGAACUGAGACACGGUCCAGACUCCUACGGGAGGCAGCAGUGGGGAAUAUUGCACAAUGGGCGCAAGCCUGAUGCAGCCACGCCGCGUGUGUGAAGAAGGCUUUCGGGUUGUAAAGCACUGUCAGCGGGGAGGCGUUACCCGACGAAGAAGCACCGGCUAACUCCGUGCCAGCAGCCGCGGUAAUUC